AUUGAACGCUGGCGGCAGGCCUAACACAUGCAAGUCGAGCGAGCGGCGGACGGGUGAGUAAUGUCUGGGAAACUGCCUGAUGGAGGGGGCUAACUACUGGAAACGGUAGCUAAUACCGCAUACCAUCAGAUGUGCCCCGAUGGGAUUAGCUAGUAGGUGGGGUAACGGCUCACCUAGGCGACGAUCCCUAGCUGGUCUGUGAGGAUGACCAGCCACACUGGAACUGAGACACGGUCCAGGCUCCUACGGGAGGCAGCAGGGGGGAAUAUGGCACAAUGGGCGCAAGCCUGAUGCAGUCAUGCCGCGUGUGUGAAGAAGGCCUUCGGGUUGUAAAGCACGUUCAGCGGGGAGGCGUUACCCGCAGAAGAAGCACCGGCUAACUCCGUGCCAGCAGCCGCGGUAAUUC
rnacentral:rRNA from 1 species